GUUCUCAUAUGAUUGCCAAAGUUAAGCAAUGUCGUGCCUGGUUAGUACCUAGAUGAGUGACUGUAUGGGAAUACCAGGUGCUGUAA